UUUUUUUUUUUUUUAUUUUAAUUCCAGUAUAGUUGACAUACAGUGUUAUAUUAGUUUCAGGUAUAUGAUAUAGUGAUUCAGCAAUUCCAUACAUCACCCAGUGCUCAUCACAAGUGACUCCUUAAUCACCAUUACUUAUUUCACACACCCCCAAUACUUGUUCCCUUCUGGUAACCAUCAGUUUGUUCUCUAUAGUUAAGAGUCUGUUUCUUGCUUUCUCGGUCUUGCUCUCCCCAUUUUUCCCUUUGCCCAUUUGUUUUAUUUCUUAAAUUCCACAUGAGCGAGCUCCUAUGAUAUUUGUCUUUCUAUGAAUUAUUUAGCUUGGCAUUAUACUCUCUAACUUCAUCCAUUCUCCUAUAUAGAGACUCCAUACGAACUACACAUCAGAUACAAUCCUUGAUACAGGUUCCCAAGUACUAAUUUUGUAUACAUACUUUUCUGCUAAAUUCUGUGCAUUUAUCUCUUUAGACUAUUUUUCUUCUGGUAGCCAUUGGUACAACCUGUCCAACCAAGUUCUAUCUUCCAGAACAUUACCAGAUACUAGAUUAUAUGGCUGGCAUGUUUAUAGGCAAAAUCCUAGAACAUGGAGCAGGCAAAGAGAAUUUUCCUCUCCACACAUUGAAAACCAGUCUCAAGUAGAGAUAAGCAAGGCCUGUAAUUGACAAGUAAUCUUAAGAGCUCUAGAACUGAUAUGUUUACACAAUACAAACAUCCUCUGAAUUCACAAUACUUAUUCAUCCUCUAUUUUCCCAAUCAGACCACCCAUUCACCACACCCUUUGUGGAACACAAUAAAAUAUCUAAUGUCUCUUUCAGAUAAAAAAAUGGAUGAAUUUCUUGAAGCUUUAGGGAACAUGACAUAUAAUUACCCUCUCCUAUAAUUUCCUAUAUUACAACUCUGAAGUUUGGAAUGCAUAUCCCUAUAAUUACUUCUAUAUGUAAUUACAUUUACAUAAUACUUACAUGAUUUUAUUUACAUAAAGAGGUAAUGAUUCAUUUUUCAGAAACUUUUUAUAUGUCCCAAGCAGGACACAUUGGAGCUAUAUUAUUUCUUACAUGGAAUACUAUGAAAAAAAAAAAAAAGAAUAUACACAUACAUUAGCUUGUUGUUAGGCAAGUUUAUAAAAAUUGGAGGAUUGAUAUUCAAAUAGAUGUAAGAAUGAAGAAGAGUAGAAAAGGCAUUCUCUUGUGUCAGAGUGACAAAAUACUGUCUCAAUAAAGAGAUCUAUUACAUCUUAAGUAUAAUCAACAUUAAAGCACUCUGUAAUGAUGAAGAGAUUGAAUGCAUGGAUUUUCCCCCUGGAGUUGUAGCUAUUCCACCCCAGAUGCAUGUAACACUCAGUGGGUUUCAAUGCAUAAUGGGAAGAUUUAAAGCUUUGGAGCCAUUUAUAUCUGGAUUCAAAUCCUAUCUCUGAAACUUCCAGUUGAAUGAUCUUAGACUAGUUGUUUAAUCUUUCUGAGUCUCUUUUUUCCAUCAAAGUUCAGACAAUCAUACAUAUACUCCAGAAUGCUCCUUAAAGAUUAAGUAACUAAUAGAAAUCAAAGAGUUUGUUGCAUAAGGUAGGCAAUCAACAAAAUGUCAUUCCUGUCUUUCAAUUAUUUUCCUUAGAGAAUCUUAUGUAUCUCCAUAGUGUCUUUUGCCUGUUAGUAGUUAAGCCAGGUAAUUAAGAUUAAUUUACAGAUGGAACUAAUUUCCAAAUAAUUUCUUUAAUAUAGAAGUUUUCUUUUCUUUUCUUUUUUUUUAAAGAUUUUAUUUAUUUAUUCAUGAGAGACACAGAGAGAGAGUGAGAGAGAGAGAGAGGCAGCACACAGGCAGAGGGACAAGCAGGCUCCAUGCAGGGAGCCCGACGUAGGACUCGAUGCCUGGUCUCCAGGAUCACGCCCUAGGCCGAAGGCAGUGCUAAAUUGCUGAGCCACCCGGGCUGCCCAUAGUAUAGAAAUUUUCAAAUUCUAAUGAAUAUCAGAAUCCCC
rnacentral:lncRNA from 1 species